rnacentral:piRNA from 1 species
UGGACCUUAGGUAAGACUCUGAUGACCUU